AUUGAACGCUGGCGGCAUGCCUUACACAUGCAAGUCGAACGGCAGCACGGGAGCAAUCCUGGUGGCGAGUGGCGGACGGGUGAGUAAAGCAUCGGAACGUGCCCAGUCGUGGGGGAUAACGUAGCGAAAGCUACGCUAAUACCGCAUACGACCUGUGGAUGAAAGCGGGGGACCGUAAGGCCUCGCGCGAUUGGAGAGGCCGAUGUCAGAUUAGGUAGUUGGUGAGGUAAAGGCUCACCAAGCCGACGAUCUGUAGCUGGGCUGAGAGGACGACCAGCCACACUGGGACUGAGACACGGCCCAGACUCCUACGGGAGGCAGCAGUGGGGAAUUUUGGACAAUGGGCGCAAGCCUGAUCCAGCAAUGCCGCGUGCAGGAUGAAGGCCUUCGGGUUGUAAACUGCUUUUGUACGGAGCGAAACGGCUUCCACUAAUACUGGGGGCUAAUGACGGUACCGUAAGAAUAAGCACCGGCUAACUACGUGCCAGCCGCCGCGGUAA
rnacentral:rRNA from 1 species